AGUAAUCAAGCAAUGUAUAUGCAUAUUAACUGUUAAUUAAUAAAUAGGGGCUUACUCGGUUACUA
rnacentral:tRNA from 1 species